CAUAGGUUAAUGAGGCGAACCGGGGGAACUGAAACAUCUAAGUACCCCGAGGAAAAGAAAUCAACCGAGAUUCCCCCAGUAGCGGCGAGCGAACGGGGAGGAGCCCAGAGCCUGAAUCAGUGUGUGUGUUAGUGGAAGCGUCUGGAAAGGCGCGCGAUACAGGGUGACAGCCCCGUACACAAAAAUGCACAUGCUGUGAGCUCGAUGAGUAGGGCGGGACACGUGGUAUCCUGUCUGAAUAUGGGGGGACCAUCCUCCAAGGCUAAAUACUCCUGACUGACCGAUAGUGAACCAGUACCGUGAGGGAAAGGCGAAAAGAACCCCGGCGAGGGGAGUGAAAAAGAACCUGAAACCGUGUACGUACAAGCAGUGGGAGCACAGAGCAAUCUGUGUGACUGCGUACCUUUUGUAUAAUGGGUCAGCGACUUAUAUUCUGUAGCAAGGUUAACCGAAUAGGGGAGCCGAAGGGAAACCGAGUCUUAACUGGGCGUUAAGUUGCAGGGUAUAGACCCGAAACCCGGUGAUCUAGCCAUGGGCAGGUUGAAGGUUGGGUAACACUAACUGGAGGACCGAACCGACUAAUGUUGAAAAAUUAGCGGAUGACUUGUGGCUGGGGGUGAAAGGCCAAUCAAACCGGGAGAUAGCUGGUUCUCCCCGAAAGCUAUUUAGGUAGCGCCUCGUGAAUUCAUCUCCGGGGGUAGAGCACUGUUUCGGCAAGGGGGUCAUCCCGACUUACCAACCCGAUGCAAACUGCGAAUACCGGAGAAUGUUAUCACGGGAGACACACGGCGGGUGCUAACGUCCGUCGUGAAGAGGGAAACAACCCAGACCGCCAGCUAAGGUCCCAAAGUCAUGGUUAAGUGGGAAACGAUGUGGGAAGGCCCAGACAGCCAGGAUGUUGGCUUAGAAGCAGCCAUCAUUUAAAGAAAGCGUAAUAGCUCACUGGUCGAGUCGGCCUGCGCGGAAGAUGUAACGGGGCUAAACCAUGCACCGAAGCUGCGGCAGCGACACUAUGUGUUGUUGGGUAGGGGAGCGUUCUGUAAGCCUGUGAAGGUGUGCUGUGAGGCAUGCUGGAGGUAUCAGAAGUGCGAAUGCUGACAUAAGUAACGAUAAAGCGGGUGAAAAGCCCGCUCGCCGGAAGACCAAGGGUUCCUGUCCAACGUUAAUCGGGGCAGGGUGAGUCGACCCCUAAGGCGAGGCCGAAAGGCGUAGUCGAUGGGAAACAGGUUAAUAUUCCUGUACUUGGUGUUACUGCGAAGGGGGGACGGAGAAGGCUAUGUUGGCCGGGCGACGGUUGUCCCGGUUUAAGCGUGUAGGCUGGUUUUCCAGGCAAAUCCGGAAAAUCAAGGCUGAGGCGUGAUGACGAGGCACUACGGUGCUGAAGCAACAAAUGCCCUGCUUCCAGGAAAAGCCUCUAAGCAUCAGGUAACAUCAAAUCGUACCCCAAACCGACACAGGUGGUCAGGUAGAGAAUACCAAGGCGCUUGAGAGAACUCGGGUGAAGGAACUAGGCAAAAUGGUGCCGUAACUUCGGGAGAAGGCACGCUGAUAUGUAGGUGAAGCGACUUGCUCGUGGAGCUGAAAUCAGUCGAAGAUACCAGCUGGCUGCAACUGUUUAUUAAAAACACAGCACUGUGCAAACACGAAAGUGGACGUAUACGGUGUGACGCCUGCCCGGUGCCGGAAGGUUAAUUGAUGGGGUCAGCGCAAGCGAAGCUCUUGAUCGAAGCCCCGGUAAACGGCGGCCGUAACUAUAACGGUCCUAAGGUAGCGAAAUUCCUUGUCGGGUAAGUUCCGACCUGCACGAAUGGCGUAAUGAUGGCCAGGCUGUCUCCACCCGAGACUCAGUGAAAUUGAACUCGCUGUGAAGAUGCAGUGUACCCGCGGCAAGACGGAAAGACCCCGUGAACCUUUACUAUAGCUUGACACUGAACAUUGAGCCUUGAUGUGUAGGAUAGGUGGGAGGCUUUGAAGUGUGGACGCCAGUCUGCAUGGAGCCGACCUUGAAAUACCACCCUUUAAUGUUUGAUGUUCUAACGUUGACCCGUAAUCCGGGUUGCGGACAGUGUCUGGUGGGUAGUUUGACUGGGGCGGUCUCCUCCUAAAGAGUAACGGAGGAGCACGAAGGUUGGCUAAUCCUGGUCGGACAUCAGGAGGUUAGUGCAAUGGCAUAAGCCAGCUUGACUGCGAGCGUGACGGCGCGAGCAGGUGCGAAAGCAGGUCAUAGUGAUCCGGUGGUUCUGAAUGGAAGGGCCAUCGCUCAACGGAUAAAAGGUACUCCGGGGAUAACAGGCUGAUACCGCCCAAGAGUUCAUAUCGACGGCGGUGUUUGGCACCUCGAUGUCGGCUCAUCACAUCCUGGGGCUGAAGUAGGUCCCAAGGGUAUGGCUGUUCGCCAUUUAAAGUGGUACGCGAGCUGGGUUUAGAACGUCGUGAGACAGUUCGGUCCCUAUCUGCCGUGGGCGCUGGAGAACUGAGGGGGGCUGCUCCUAGUACGAGAGGACCGGAGUGGACGCAUCACUGGUGUUCGGGUUGUCAUGCCAAUGGCACUGCCCGGUAGCUAAAUGCGGAAGAGAUAAGUGCUGAAAGCAUCUAAGCACGAAACUUGCCCCGAGAUGAGUUCUC
rnacentral:rRNA from 1 species